rnacentral:rRNA from 1 species
CCUACGGGAGGCAGCAGUAGGGAAUAUUGCUCAAUGGGGGAAACCCUGAAGCAGCAACGCCGCGUGGAGGAUGAAGGUUUUCGGAUUGUAAACUCCUUUUGUUAGAGAAGAUAAUGACGGUAUCUAACGAAUAAGCACCGGCUAACUCCGUGCCAGCAGCCGCGGUAAUACGGAGGGUGCAAGCGUUACGCGGAAUCACUGGGCGUAAAGAGCGCGUAGGCGGGAUAGCAAGUCAGCUGUGAAAUCCUAUGGCUUAACCAUAGAACUGCAUUUGAAACUGUUAGUCUAGAGUAUGGGAGAGGUAGGUGGAAUUCUUGGUGUAGGGGUAAAAUGCGUAGAGAUCAAGAGGAAUACUCAUUGCGAAGGCGACCUGCUAGAACAUAACUGACGCUGAGGCGCGAAAGCGUGGGGAGCAAACAGGAUUAGAUACCCCUGUAGUC